GCCACAGGGGGGCAGCCGCGUGCCGUCACGUUUACGAACGUCCAGAAGAAGGCAAGAAGGCGAAGGAGGAGAAAAACGGCUGCGCGCGCGAGGAGGAAGUGGCCACCGUUAAAUGUGCUGCUUUCCUUCAACAAUUGGGCAACUUUGAGCUUCUUCGAGAUGCGGACGGAGGCCCGUCGAAGCCCGGAGGCGCCAUCUCGACGAUCCAUCGUGGCGAUCUUCCUUGGGGUGCGGUCACGUGAUCGUGUUUGAAGCGCACAAUCUCCUCCAUCCAGCAGGCGGCGCUCUUUGCAAUUAGCUCACUUCUGUUUCUUCCCUCUGAACCUCAAACUGUUGGAAUAAAAUCAUUGAGGUCAAAACAA